UGGUCAUCAUCUCUGAUUGGUUCUUGUCCCGCCCAACCAACGCCCGUCCCAACUCCCCAUGAGCAGAAUCCGGCCAGUAUUACCGUACCAGAUUGCCCAGGGCCUGAACGAGUGCUGACCAUUGGCGGUUCCGAGGAAGUGGUUCUGAAGGUUCUGCGAGAAGUCUUGGAGUGCCUGGAUGAGGCGCUGCAGAAGGGCUCGGAGACGGACGCGCGUAUCCUCGUGCACCAGAGCCAGGCGGGAUGCAUCAUCGGCAAGGCUGGCACCAAGAUCAAGGAACUCAGGGAGGU